rnacentral:misc_RNA from 1 species
AACGCACAUUGCGCCCUGUGGUAUUCCGCAGGGCAUGCCUGUUCGAGCGUCAUUACAACCACUCAAGCCUGGCUUGGUAUUGGGGUUUGCGGUUCCGCAGCCCCUAAAAUCAGUGGCGGUGCCGGUGUGGCUCUACGCGUAGUAAUUCUUCUCGCGAUGGAGUUCCCCUGGAGACCUGCCAGAACCCCCCAAUUUUUACAGGUUGACCUCGGAUCAGGUAGGGAUACCCGCUGAACUUAA